CACGUAGGGUGCGAGCGUUGUCCGGAAUUAUUGGGCGUAAAGAGCUCGUAGGCGGUGUGUCGCGUCGGCCGUGAAAACCUGCAGCUUAACUGUGGGCUUGCGGUCGAUACGGGCAUCACUGGAGUUCGGCAGGGGAGACUGGAAUUCCUGGUGUAGCGGUGAAAUGCGCAGAUAUCAGGAGGAACACCGGUGGCGAAGGCGGGUCUCUGGGCCGAAUACUGACG
rnacentral:rRNA from 1 species